CCUACGGUGGGCAGCAGUGGGGAAUAUUGCACAAUGGGGGAACCCCUGAUGCAGCGACGCCGCGUGAGUGAAGAAGUAUUUCGGUAUGUAAAGCUCUAUCAGCAGGGAAGAAAAUGACGGUACCUGAUUCAGAAGCCCCGGCUAACUACGUGCCAGCAGCCGCGGUAAUACGUAGGGGGCAAGCGUGAUCCGGAUUUACUGGGUGUAAAGGGAGCGUAGACGGCAGCACAAGUCUGGAGUGAAAUGCCGGGGCUUAACCCCGGAACUGCUUGGGAAACUGUGCAGCUAGAGUGCAGGAGAGGUAAGUGGAAUUCCUAGUGUAGCGGUGAAAUGCGUAGAUAUUAGGAGGAACACCAGUGGCGAAGGCGGCUUACUGGACUGUAACUGACGUUGAGGCUCGAAAGCGUGGGGAGCAAACAGGAUUAGAUACCCCUGUAGUC
rnacentral:rRNA from 1 species